GGAUUAGAUACCCUGGUAGUCCACACCGUAAACGAUGAAUGCCAGUCGUCGGGCAGUAUACUGUUCGGUGACACACCUAACGGAUUAAGCAUUCCGCCUGGGGAGUACGGUCGCAAGAUUAAAACUCAAAGGAAUUGCGGGGAAGCUAAACAAGCGGUGGAAUAUGUGGUUUAAUUUGAUAUAACGCGUAUAACCUUACCAAUUCUUGAAAA
rnacentral:rRNA from 1 species